GUUUUUUGAGGAAUCUCUAUACUGCUCUUUGGAGUGGUUGUACUGAUCUGCAGUCCCAACAACAAUGUGUGAGUGUACCUUUCCCUCCACAUCCUCACUAGCAUUUGUUAUUAUUAUCUGUAUUCUUGAUAGUUGUCCUUCUGAAUGGAAUGAGAUAAAAUCUUGGUGUAGUUUUGCAUUUCUCUGAUGUAUUUCUCUGAUGCUAGAGAUGUUGAAUAUUUUACUCAAAUAUUUGUUGGCCAUUUGUGUUUCUUUUUGUGAGAAAUAUCUGUCUAGUUCUUUUUGCCCAUUUAUUGAUUGAGUUAUUUGGGUUUUGGGGUGAUAAGUUUUUUGAGGUGUUUACAUAUUCUGGAUGUUAAUCUUCUGUCAGAGGAACAGUGGCAAAGGAUGUCUUUUAUUGUGUAGACUUUCUCUUUAUGCUCCUGUGUCCCUUGCUGUGUAGAAGCUUUUUAAUUUGAAGGCAUCCUACUUACUUGUUCUUGGCUUUAUUUUUUGAGCCUUGGGGGUCUUGUUAAGGAAGUCAGGGCCUAUACCUCUAUAUUGGAAUAUUGAACCUAUGUUUUCUUCUAGCAGUUGCAAGUUUUCUGGUCUAAUUCCUAAGUCUUUGAUCUUUUUUGUUUGACUUUUGUGCAGGGUGAGAAUACAGUUCUAAUUCCAUUCUUCUACAUAUGAAAAUGCACUUUUCCCUCCACCAUUUGUUAAAAGAUUGUCUUUUAGCCAGGCAUGGUGGCACAUGCCUGUAAUCUCAGUGGCUCAGAAGGCAGAGGUAGGAGGAUUGCAAGUUCAAAGCCAGUCUCAGCAAUUUAGCAAGGUGCUGAGCAACUCAAUGAGACUCUGUCUCUAAUAAAAUAUAAAAUAGGGGUAAGGAUGUGGCUCAGUGGUCAAGUGCCCCUGAGUUUAGUCUCUGGUACUCCCCCCACUCCCACCCCCACCAAAAUAGGCUGUCUUUUCUCUAACAUAUCUGUUUGACAACUUUAUCAACUCUCAGAUGG
rnacentral:lncRNA from 1 species